rnacentral:tRNA from 1 species
GCGGGCCUGGCGCAACCGGCAGACGCGGCGGGCUCAAACCCCGCUAGAUGGGGGUUCGAGUCCCCCGGCCCGCACCA